GCCGCAUGCUCGGUCAUUUACAACUCUGAAUCUGGCUUCACAUUCAUAGAGUAGUCCCACUUGAUAUUUUUACCUCCCUCUAGUCUACUUUCCCUGCUCGAAUAGCAGUUGAGGUGUGAGGAGAGGGAGUUCCCGUACCGAAUCAAGGGGAUUGUUUUCUUAGCUGAAGAUAGAUGUGAUCGGGAGUCCGGGAUGCCGGAAUGGCCCGCGUCGAGGAGUUAUGGAUGACAUUAUAUAUAGAGAAAAUUUCUUAUUUGACAAAAAAAUUUUGUUCCCAAUUUGACACCCAAAGUUCAAAUACUUCCUAUAUAUAUGUCCAACCUCAAAAUUUUUGUUCCUAAUAUGAAACUCCCGUUAGAUUUAUCAGGCCUCACCGUUAACUGACAUGUGGGGCCAUGAGAAAAAGACCAAAAUGUCCUUUAUCCAAACUACACUGAAGAAGUCUCCAGUUUCGUUUCUCCUUCACUCCACACAUCUCCCUGAGCUAAUGGAGGGCCGGUCUGGCGGCGCGGCCACCGCGGGCGUGCGGGGCACGGGCGCCGUGAGUGGGUCGGCCGUGGCUGCCACGGGCUCAGCCGCCCGAGAUCAACGCGUAGCCCACCUCCCCCAGCGGCCCCUGCAGCAACGACGCUUGGAGCUGGCGUGCUGUGCUUGGUAGCGAGGUCUCAGCCGGCGCGUCGCACCCCCCCCCCCCCCCCCCCCCCCCCCCCCCCGCGUCCCUGCACGGGUGGCUCCAGCCCGGCGAGCAGCGGCCUGAAUUCAUCCCUGUGAAGCGCCAGUGCUCCCCCAAUUAUGGCGGAAAGAUUAGUGAUUAGUGAUUUGACGGAAAGAUUCCAGGACGAGGACGUCUGGGUGUGAGGAAUUUAUUUAUUUGGGGCUUGAACCUGAUGUUGCUUCACGCUUAAAAAAAGAAAGUCGGAAUUGGUGAGUUUUCCAGUAAUUAUAUACGUCAGCUGUCCAAUUAUGACCAAGUUUGAUGCUUCUAAUUGCACACUUUUUUCUUGAUCUGCCCCCGGCUAUUCUGCAUUAGCGCCCACACUUCAAACUCAAGGAGCGGCAAAAUCGACCUUUCAUCCUGUUGGCGGAGAGUGUCUCCGAGCGGGAUGAACACUACAACAGCCAGGAGAUGCGCAUGAUACAAAGAUGUGACGAACACGGGAAACAAAGAUGGCCUUCGGACAAUCAUCCGCCUGAUAGAUGCAGGAUCCGAACGGAGAAGACCACCAGACGAUAAAGAGAAGAAGUUAAGGAUGACCCGAGCUACACUCCGAGCUGCUUGUGGAGAAAAGUUGAGAAGAUGGAAUUGCCCAGAAGACUAGCUAUUGUUUCCGCUUUCUGUUUGUUUUCCUUUAGCCCAAGAGGCUUGUACUCAGAGAUUCAUAUUACAAUAGGAUUAUGUAUUAAAUAAACUCAUUUACUGUUUUAACGUGAGCAUGUCUGUGAUAUGUAAUUGAAAUGAGUUCUGUA